rnacentral:rRNA from 1 species
GACAGAGGUGCCGAGCGUUAGGCGGAAUCACUGGGCUUAAAGCGUGUGUAGGCGGACUUCUAAGUACCUUGUGAAAUCCCCCGGCUCAACCGGGGAACUGCUUGGUAUACUGGUUGUCUUGAGCCACUUAGGGCAGUCGGAACAGACGGUGGAGCGGUGAAAUGCGUAGAUAUCGUCUGGAACGCCAAAGGUGAAAACAGAACUGCUGGGAGUGUGCUGACGCUGAGACACGAAAGCCAGGGGAGCAAAGCGGG